CCAAAGGCUCUUUUCAGAGCCACCCACCGAUCUCAGCAAAAAGAG
rfam:Dipodomys ordii contig_70646, whole genome shotgun sequence.